rnacentral:lncRNA from 1 species
CCCACUAACUUCACAGCCCAUUUGAAUUGUUCAUCAGAAAAUAACCUUUGUUCUGUUAAAAACUUCAAACUUUUCUGAUCUGUUUUGAUAAUAAAAUGCCUCCGCAUCAAAUAAUGUCUCCAUUUUUUAAUGGCUUGGACCAAAGCCAUUAAUUCUCUCUCAUAAACAGAUUUUUGUUGAGCCCUUAAGGAAAGCCCUUUACUCCAAAAUGCUAAAGGCCUUCCCUCUUGCAUCAAAACUGCCCCUAGACCUUUGUUGGAAGCAUCAGUUUCCACUAUAAAUUCCUUAUUAAAAUCGGGUAUUGCCAACAUUGGUAGAGAUACCAUAGCAGCCUUCAACUUUUCAAAAGCAGAUGUAGCCUCUGCAGUCCAACUGAAAGAAUCUUUCUUGAGUAAAUCUGUCAGAGGUUUUGCUAUCUUGCCAUAAUUCUGAAUAAACCUUCAAUAAUAACCUGAGAACCCUAAGAACCCUCUCAACCCUGUUAUAUUCCUUGGUUGCGGCCAAGACUUCAUAGCUUCCACUUUGGAACAGUCAGCAGAAACACCAUCUCCUGAAAUGAUGUGGCCCAAAUACUUAAUACUUGUUUGACCAAAACUGCAUUUCUUGAGGUUUGCCUUCAACUUAUUCUCAGUUAACACUGUUAAGAUGACUUGUAAAUGGUCGUUAUGGGAUUCCAAAUCAGGGUUGUAUAUUAAAAUGUCAUCAAAAAACACUAGUGUGAAUUUCCUCAAAUAUGGUUUCAAGAUCUCAUUCAUCAAAGCUUGAAACGUGGAUGGGGCAUUAGUGAGUCCAAAAGGCAUAACUAAGAAUUCAUAAUGCCCCUCAUGAGUCCUAAAUGCUGUCUUCUCGACAUCUUCCAAUCUCAUCCAUAUCUGAUGAUAACCUGACUUCAAGUCAAGUUUAGAAAAAACCUUUGCUCCUCCCAAUUCAUCUAACAACUCUUCAAUUAUAGGAAUUGGAAAUUAGUUUGGAAUGGUGACCUUGUUGAGUGCCCUAUAAUCCAUACAAAAUCUCCAACCUCCAUCUUUUUUCUUCACUAGAAUGAUAGGGCUAGAAUAAGGGCUAAUAUUGUUUCUGAUCACCCCAGCAUCUAACAUUUCAGCUACAAAUUUCUCAAUUUCUGUUUUCUGAAAAUGAGAACAUUUGUAAGGCCGAAUGUUGGGUAUUUCAGCUCCCUCCUUCAGUUUGAUAGCAUGAUCAUGCUUUCUAAAAGGGGGUAACCCCUCGAUAUCUUCGAACACUUCUUGGUGUUGCUCUAGGAUCCUCUUCAAUGCUUCUGGAACCCUUUCUUCUUUCUGUUUACUUCCCUCUUCUGUCACACAGUGUAACAAUAGCCCUUCCCCCUCUUGUAACAGAAUUUGCCUGAAAGCUCCAUAGGACAGCUCUGUCUUUGUUAAUGCAGGAUCUCCUGCUAUUGUGAUUCUAGAACCUCCUCUCAUAAGGGUUAGCUCCAUUCUGCCAAAGUCAACCUUUACUUCUCCCAAACUAGCUAACCAGUCUAAACCCAACACUAGGUCCACUCCUUUUAAUCCAAACAAAUAGAAGUCUUGAAUAACUUCUAAUUGUUGUAAAUAUAGUUUGAGCUGAGUACAUUUUCCUCUAUUUUGAACUUUAUGGCCAUCUCCCACUUCUACUACAUAGGCUGGAGUGUCGUCUACUUUCAGUUUCAACCUGUCCACUGAAUCCUUUGCAAUGAAAUUGUGUGAUGCACCACAAUCUAUCAAUAUCACAACAGGUUGAUCUUUUAUUAUUCCUCAUACCUUCCAUGAUUUACUAGUUGUGAGUCCUGUCAUUGAGUACAUUGAUAAUUGCAAGGAAUUUAGUGUCUCUAUCUCAUCUAUAUUAAAGGGUUCAUCACACCUAAAACAUAACCCUUUUUCUCUCUUUUCCCUCAUUUCAUCACUAGUCAACUUCUUAUACUCCCC